GCAGUAUAAUACUCUCUCGUGAUGUUAAGCAGUGGCAGCUCCUGGUCAGCCUUGUGAUCACAACGCUCCUACCGCUUGCAGUUAUUGGCCUCCUACGGAGAGACUGUUUUCCUGGUGAUGCAUGUACUCACACAGUUGCAAGCCCACAAAUUGACCGAUCAGUAGAUGAAAAAAUAGAUGCUCAGAGAAGAUAAGUGAUUUGCCUGAGUCAAGCAGUCAGUGAUAGAGAUGGGAUUUAAUUCUUACUUGCAAUCUUCUGCCAUGUGAACUCAAGGAGUCAGGCUUCAAGCUGGAGAAAGACAUGGGGCAAAAAUGGUACCUGGCCAGUGAUUGCCCUGGGGCUUUCUUCUUUAACCACAGAUGAUUAAAACAUCUCUCGGCUCGUGGGGAUGGUCCUUGUAACACUACUGUAAAUGCAAACUUCAAAUCUCCUGUAAUGAAAAUGCCUCAAACCUCAACUCACAGAUGAAGAAGGAAAAUGGCACUUUUUCCUGUUUGCUGCAGAAGGUAAUUCUAAGUGGAUCUGAUGAGCUUCACCUCUCUGGAGCCGAGGCUGAGUCAUUCAUCAAAGGCUGUUAGAAGUCAUCUAUAUCUGCUCUCACAGUGGCAGCAGCCCCGCUCCUGGUGACCUCACAUUGCACUACUGAGCACGGGUGUUAAAAGCACUCUCUCCAGGUCAUGGCUUUUAUACACAGAGCCUUCAAGCAAACACUAAAAUGCCUUGACAAAAUUGGGCACUCUGAAACUGAAAACUCCAGUGUGUGCACUCAAAGUUGUUAAUAAUACACUAUCACAAUAAUUGCAAUCAUGGAACAAAUGUUAGGCUCUCUGGGCUUAUGCAGUUUUAAAAAAAGACUAUAUGUGGUGGAAAAAAUCUCUUUUCUAAGAUAGAUAUUCUCUGUAGAGAAUGAAGCUGAUGUAGUGAGACAAGCAUUGAACUUGGUGUCAGAACUGGGUGGCAGCCAGCUCAAUUUACAUGAGAAUUUGUUUCAAUGGUUUGCCUCUCUGCAUCUCAGUUUUCUCAUUAGGAAAUUGGAGAUAAUCCUACCUGUCUAGAAGUCUCUGUGAGGAAAGGUAUGAGACAAAACUUCCUACUGUAAAUAUUUAACCAAGUGUAUAAAACAUCAUAUUUGCACAGGAAACUUGUUAAAAUUCCAGUUCCUGGACCCUUUUCUAGAGAUUCAGACUUAGCUCUGGGAUGGGAACUACAAAUCUAAAUAUUGAAAAUACAUUCUAUAGACACAGACCCUCUGUAGGUUAUCUGUGGACCACACUUUAAGAAAACUCAACUUUUUGUAUAUUGUAUACUUUUGAGUUACUUAGUACCACUAAUGGUUAGAAAAGAAGGAAAUGUACCAAAUGCUUUUCUCUGAGGUUUGACAACCCUGAGAGAAGUAUAUGGAUUCAGAAUGAUGUUCCUUUCCUCACUAUUUUCAGCAUCAUUAGUAUCAAGAAUGAAGCAAGGGAUGAAAACAUUAACGUGCCAAUAAGUAAAGACAGAUUCUAAUGCCCUAACCAUCAUAAUAUCAUGUCCAUAAAUAUAAUUAAGGUUUAAAUGUGAAUAGAAAGAACAAGAGAGAAAACAGAGAUGGGGGGUAUAAACCAAGUAAUCUUUGUUUUGGCUUGAAUAGUCUAAGUAGCACCCUUGAUCUGUGGAUUCUCCUUAACCAUAUAGCUGUGUUUCUCUUAAUGCCAAGAGUUAGCAAAAAAAGGACUAAAUGGGAGAAAAUCAAAAUGCAAAAGGAUUUCAAAAUACUUUGGCUUUUCCAAAACCACGUUCUGGGCCAUAGUUGUCACUGUACAAUGGAAACAGGUGUUGUCACUUGUCUCUAGACACCAUUAUCACCAACACAGACAGUCCCUACCAGGAGAACCUUUACAGAAACAGAGUUAGCAUCCACCUCUGGAUGACCAUUUGAAAAGUGCUUAAAGGACUCCUUUCUUUGGCCAAAGUAAACUGUCACCAGCUGAUUCUUUAAAGAGAGCCAAGUACUUACAAUGAAUUAAAUUGAGUUCAUCCACAUCGAGAAAAAUCAGAUACAUAAAUUUACUGAGUUCCUAUCUCUUUCAAAAACUUAGAUAGCCAAUGGAGGCUUUAAAUUACUUUUUUUUUUUAGGGCCACACCUGCGGAAUAUAGAGGUUCCCAGGUUAGGGGUCAAAUCGGAACUGUAACUGCUGGCCUACACACAGCCACAGCAAUGCCAGAUCUAAGCCACGUCUGUGACAUAUACCACAGCUCAUGGCAACACCAGAUCCUUAACCCACUGAGCGAGGCCAGGGAAUGAACCUGCGUCCUCAUGGAUACUAGUCAGAUUUGUUUCCUCCGAGCCACAAUGGGAACUUCUAAAUUAUAUUUUUGCGGGGUUUAGGGGUUUUUUUUUGUUUGUUUUUUUUUUUAGACAAUGUAGAUUAGUUGAUUUUGAACCAAUUCUGCUUAGACCUUCUAGAGAAUUUUAAACAAAAUAAUAAAAUAAGAUCUGUAGGUAAGCCUUGUUUGUAAGCUACCAAGGAAGUAAAUUUCAUCAGACUAAGAUCCCAAAGAUGAAGAAAACAGUGGAAGCGCAACUGACACUUAAAAGACAACUUUCCCCUUGAAGCAUUUGCUGAUUUGAAAUCAGUAGCCGGGAGGUAAGAAAGUGAACAGAACUCUUGGCAGACUCACUAGCUGAUCAGACCCCACCAAGAAUGGAGGGUCUCAAAACAGGACACUCAGAGUACUGGUUCUUUGUUGUUUGUUCUUCACCUGAGUGGGCAUUCCGUGGGUGUGUUCCUGUGUGAUCAUUCAGUCGGCUAUACACUUGUGACUUUGUAUUUUUCUUUAUCUAUAACCUUUCUCUACCAUCAUUUUAAAGUUAAUAUUAAAUCGUUGGUGAAAACAG
ensembl:lncRNA